rnacentral:rRNA from 1 species
CACAGGAAACAGCUAUGACCAUGAUUACGCCAAGCUUGGUACCGAGCUCGGAUCCACUAGUAACGGCCGCCAGUGUGCUGGAAUUCGGCUUAUUACCGCGGCUGCUGGCACAGAGUUAGCCGGUGCUUCUUCUGAGGGUAACGUCAUUAUCCUCCCCUCUGAAAGUGCUUUACAACCCGCAGGCCUUCUUCACACACGCGGCGUCGCUGCGUCAGGGUUUCCCCCAUUGCGCAAUAUUCCUCACUGCUGCCUCCCGUAGGAAGCCGAAUUCUGCAGAUAUCCAUCACACUGGCGGCCGCUCGAGCAUGCAUCUAGAGGGCCCAAUUCGCCCUAUAGUGAGUCGUAUUACAAUUCACUGGCCGUCGUUUUACAACGUCA